GGAGGAGGAGGAGAGAAGAGAAGAAGAAGAUGAGAGGAGAGAAGAGAAGAAGAGAAGAAAUAAACACUAAAAAAAAUAAAAAAAAACGCUACUUUGAAAGAGACGCGCCUUGGCGAAAGAGGCACUUGCCUCGCCUUCAGACUUUCUUUUGAGACUUUAACAGAAUUGCUUUUCUUAUUUCGUCAUUUUUUGGCUUGUUAAUUAAGUACUUCUUUGACCAAAUGUAAUAGAAAAAGUAAUUUAUCAUUUUCUCUUGUUUAUUUAGAUCAAUAAGAGAAUAAAAAAUUAUUAUUUUAAUAAAAUAUAUCUUGCAUUUUGUUCCCAAAUAUGUAGUAUAAAUGAGACUUUCUAUUGCUUUGAGGGAGCAUUUUAAUUAUUUGCUGUGGGUGAUAAAUUUGACUUUGCUUAAUACUAGGUGAAAAUUAUAGAGAAACUUAUUCUAGGUCUUGGAGAGAUCAUGCCCCACCACAACUCACCUUGCCUUAAUCCCUGACAAGAAGAGAGUCAAUGUUAUUUUGGCUGGAAGAUGGUCCUCAUUGGUCACUUCUAGCAAUGAAGGAGAUGCCAAAAGUGUAUUCUUCAUUAUGAAAUUAUACUUGCACAAAGGAAAUGAAGGUGUUGUACUUGGUUGGCGCAUUUCAUUCAAUGCACUGGAUGGGCAAUUUUCCUUGUCCUGUAUUUGGUGCACCAUUUAAUCAUGAUGAAAGUGGAUUGCUUUCCUAUCUAAUCCUUCUUUUUCUGUCCCUUCAGUUCUCAUCUAUAUAGACAUAAGAGUCAUUGCUUUCCUUGUUAGCUGGGUUGAGGCUUUCUGAGAAGGUUAGAA
rnacentral:misc_RNA from 1 species